ensembl:snRNA U6 U6 spliceosomal RNA
GCGCUCGCUUUGGCAGCACAUACACUAAAAUUGGAACGAUAUAGAGAUUAUCAUGGUCCCUGCCCAAGGAUGACGUGGGAAUUCAUGAAAUGUUCCAUAUUUUU